rnacentral:rRNA from 1 species
GAUGAACGCUGGCGGCGUGCUUAACACAUGCAAGUCGAACGAGAAGUGAAGACGGAACCCUUCGGGCGGAAGGCUUUAUUUCGAGUGGCGGACGGGUGAGUAACGCGUGGGUAACCUGCCUCAUACAGGGGGAUAACAGUUGGAAACGACUGUUAAUACCGCAUAAGACCACCGCACCGCAUGGUGCGGGGGUAAAAACUCCGGUGGUAUGAGAUGGACCCGCGUUCGAUUAGCCAGUUGGCGGGGUAACGGCCCACCAAAGCGACGAUCGAUAGCCGAUCUGAGAGGAUGACCGGCCACAUUGGGACUGAGAUACGGCCCAAACUCCUACGGGAGGCAGCAGUGGGGAAUAUUGCACAAUGGGGGAAACCCUGAUGCAGCGACGCCGCGUGAGUGAAGAAGUAUUUCGGUAUGUAAAGCUCUAUCAGCAGGGAAGAAAAUGACGGUACCUGAGUAAGAAGCCCCGGCUAACUACGUG